rnacentral:rRNA from 1 species
GUAGGAUGCGAGCGUUGUCCGGAUUUAUUGGGCGUAAAGAGUUCGUAGGCGGUUUGUUAAGUCUGAUGUUAAAGACUGGGGCUCAACCUCGGGACUGCAUUGGAUACUGGCAGACUGGAGUAUGGUAGAGGCAAGUGGAAUUCCCAGUGUAGCGGUGAAAUGCGUAGAUAUUGGGAAGAACACCGGUGGCGCAAGCGACUUGCUGGGCCAUUACUGACGCUGAGGAACGAAAGCUAGGGGAGCGAAUGGGAUUAGAUACCCCAGUAGUCCUAGCCGUAAACGAUGGAUACUAGGCGUAUCGGGUAUCGACCCCUGAUGUGCCGCAGCUAACGCGAUAAGUAUCCCGCCUGAGUAGUACGGCCGCAAGGUUG